CCGCAAUGGGCGCAAGUCUGACGGAGCGACGCCGCGUGCGGGAUGAAGGCCUUCGGGUUGUAAACCGCUGUCAGUGGGGUGGAAAUCACAUGAGGCUAUCCUCAUGAGUUGACCUAACCGCAGAGGAAGUCCGGGCUAAGUACGUGCCAGCAGCCGCGGUAAUACGUACCGGACGAACGUUAUUCGGAAUCACUGGGCUUAAAGAGUGCGUAGGCGGCUUUACAGGUGGGGUGUGAAAUCCCACGGCUCAACCGUGGAACUGCGCUCCAAACCGUAGGGCUUGAGGGAGACAGGGGUGAGCGGAACUGAUGGUGGAGCGGUGAAAUGCGUUGAUAUCAUCAGGAACACCGGUGGCGAAGGCGGCUCACUGGGUCUCUUCUGACGCUGAGGCACGAAAGCUAGGGUAGCGAAAGGGAUUAG
rnacentral:rRNA from 1 species